AUGUGACAUAGCCACCCAUAGCACCAAGGUUUUGCACAACAGGGAGUCUCUGUUUGAAGGGUUUUAUCGCCCCUUGUCCCCAACCUCCGUAAUUCAUCAGGAUGAUGAGGGAUCCCUUACCUUCCAGGAGAAAGUUUUUUGCCCAUGGCAGUGCCACAGCUGUGUGGUUGCCCCUCUCCAGCGCCCUGACAGUGACGAGUGGCAAGCAGGACAUCGUGAUUGGAAUAUAUGACAUUGGACAGUGGGGCUGGACAAACCUGUAAAGAGUGGCUACUAGCCAGCCACCGUGACUCACCAGACCAUCUUCACAGUGGACCUCUUCAAGUCCUUUGAAGACAUGAAGGGGUUGGCCGCGGGAUGCUCCCGUCAAGCCUUUGUGGGAAUGAUUGACGGAAGAA